rnacentral:rRNA from 1 species
GACGAACGCUGGCGGCGUGCUUAACACAUGCAAGUCGAACGGAAAGGCGAUGCUUUUGUGGGGUGCACGAGUGCCGAACGCGUGAGUAACACGUGAGUAUACUGCCCCUGACUUUGGGAUAAAUUCAGGGAACUGGGGCUAUUAUAGGAUAGGAGCUCCUGCUGCAUGGUGGGGGUUGGAAAGAUACGGCGGUUGGGGCUGGGCUAGCGGCUUAUCCGCUUGUUGGGCGGGUAGUGAAUUACCAAGGCUAUGACGGGUAGCCGGCCUGGGAGGGUGGCCGGCCACAUGAGUACUGCGGUACGGCGCAGACUCCUACGGUAGGCAGCAGGGGGGAAUAUUGCACAAUGGGCGCGAGCCUGAUACGGCAGCGCCGCGUUCGGGAUGCCGUCUUUCGGGUUGUGAACAGCUUUCGCCUGUGACGAAGAGUGAGUGACGGUAAUGAGUAAAGAAGCACCGGCUAACUACGUG